AUGCUUCCUGCAGGGAUUCUUCGGAAAGCAAACAAACACCCACCUGAGGACCCCAGCCCCAAGGACACAGGAGGGAAGACCAUCCAAGCAGUGGCCGCAGGACAUCAGCAGGAGGCAGAAUGGGGAGCACUGGACCAGAGAUGUGCAUUCAACUCUUGGUUCUAUCAUUUGUCAGCUGUGUCACUUUCCAUGCUGAACUGCAAUUUCUACGUCUGUAAAAUGAAGGAGCUGGAUAAGACCAGCUCCAAUGCUAUAUCCUUCAUCCCAGGCUGGAGGCCAGACUUGCCAGAUUUUCUCACCUUUACCAUAUCAGUCCCACCAUCCUCCCAGGAACCUGACAGAAGCUAUGAAUUCUGCUACCCAAGUGGAUGGCCCACCUCAAGAAUUAUCUGUAGCUGACACUGCCUCUCAGGCAAGCUUCCCCCAGCUCCAGGCAUAUAUUUGAGCCCCCUCCAUCUGUUGGGGUACAACCUUAAAGCAUGCACACUGAUUUUAACACUAGCUGAAGCCAAAUCUAAUUAGGGAGGUGACUCUGCUGACAAAAAUAAAUCCUAUAAGUGUAGUUUAAGGCAAAAUACAUGAGACUGGAAGCCCAUUGCCUGCGAGAAGCCUGGUGCUUCCUGCCACUCCCACAGAGCAAAAAGAGGUAUCCUGACAAGAAAGAGCCUGAAUAUGCUCAUUCCACCAGAGACUAUCCCAAUUUUAUGUGCCUUCCCUGUGGCCCAAUUCUGCUCCCCUCCUGGACAUAGCAUAUGUGUAUGUCAUGUAUUUCAGUGUAUUUCAGUUCAAAGGCCUCAUCUCCUGACUCAGUUGGAAGCUCCUACCCCCUCCCCAGCUCACAGCCCAUAUAGGAGGGCAAAAAGUUAGCCUCAGGGGAGAAAUCACAAUUCCUGGAACUGAGAGAGAAGCUGAGCCUAGGAAACUAGAUUGGCAAACAAGACACUUCCCCUGGGCCCAGCAUUCUGGUUCUUCUGGGGCAUGUAUGUGAACGUGUGUGUCUGGAGCCCAUGUGUGCCACGAAGAGUCCCAUGACUCCUCUGUGUCCUCCAUGUGGGGGCCCGAACCCUCAGAGAUCUGUGAUAAUGGUAAGGACAGCCUCAGGGCUCUUUCCCUUAUUUCAAACAUUUACCUGGAAAUCCUACCUGUUCCCUCGUUUGGUCACAUCCUGUAACUCAAAUGUCAAACCUCUGCCCUUAGCUGGCAUUUUCUCAGUGCAGUAACACUGGAAACACUGAUCAUCUCAGGAGGAGUCAUCCCUCAUGUAUAAAACGGGGAAAUAGAUCAGUGCUUAAUAAACAUAGACAAAACACAGAACUCAGGCAGGGACAGUAAUCCUGGAAGUCCUGGAGCUGAGUGAGGUGGGAGCCCCAGAUCAAGGACUCCAGAGGAUUCUGACUCAGAACUCAGAGUCUUGGAAGCUGAGGUGCCUGAACAGAGGUGGCCUAUGGGGAGCUCUCACAGGACCAACCUGCUAUCCUUGUCUUUUGUUGCUCCCCAUUCCUGGAAGCCAAAAGCAGAGCCACGCACUCAGCCUGGUAUGAAAAGCAGGGAGAGAAAUAGAUAGCAGUGUUCUCAUCCAGCCCUUCUCUCUGCCUCAUGUCACCUGCAAGCAGGACUAAUGUCCUGUCCCCUGGCAGGGCCAUGAGGGUACAGCUGGAAUUCCUAUAGCAUAAGCUGUAACCCAGCAAAUUGACUGGAAGCCCCCACGCCCAUCCCAGCAUAGCCCUGAGACCUCUGAACCUUCUUUAAGAGCCAGCUGUCCCCUAGACACGUGUCUACCAUGUGGAGGUUGGGAGGGUAGUCCAGUCACUAUGGUUGAAAGAGUCUAGAACCUUAGGUUUUAAUCUGGACCUUGUCUCUAAUAACCUCUGUUUCCAUUAUGCUCUGCCUCGAUUUCCCCAUCUGUAAAAUGAAAAUGACAGACAGGCUCCUGGGUUUCUCACCAGUCUCCCUUGCUAACUAACCAUGGGCAAGUUACUUGACCUCUUUGAAACUCAAGUUUCUUUGACUCUAAAAUGGAGAUGUGACUCUAUGCUCUGUCUUCCUCAAAGGGCAGGGUGAGGAGCAAAUGCUACGGGGUCUGCUAAAGUGGUUUGAAAUCAGAGGCCCCUCAUGACUGCAGGAGAGUAUUGUUAUGAUCAAGGACAUCCAGUUCACCCCACCUGGGCCAGGCCCUGGGGCCAGAAGAGAAAACAAAGCUGUAGCCCUUCCCUUAGCCACCUUCAGGUCUGCUGGGGCCAUGGAAAUGACCAGCACCCAUUCCAACAAGGCGGGAGAGCUGAACCCAGAGAAGCUGAAAAGAUUCAGUGGUGGGAGGGAACCCUGGUGACCGGGCUACUAUAGGAUGCUUGCUGGAGGGCUGAACCAUCAGGAGGAAAUGAAGGCUUUUUAAAGUAAGCCCCACAGGUCACUUAGAGAGGGCAGAGCAUGAGCUGCUCCUGACCCACCCCAAACCCCCCAAGUCCCUUUACAGGCUUUUUUGUUAGGACACAUCCUCUCAUUUGAUAUUGGAGAUAGCCCAGUAAGUUAGACCACAUGGCCGUCGGCAGAGGAGUACCCCAGCC
ensembl:lncRNA